rnacentral:rRNA from 1 species
GACGAAGGGGGCUAGCGUUGUUCGGAAUUACUGGGCGUAAAGCGAGUGUAGGUGGUUGUCGUAGUCAGGUGUGAAAGCCUUGAGCUCAACUCAAGAAAUGCACUUGAUACUGGGCAGCUAGAGGACCGGAGAGGAUAGUGGAAUUCCCAGUGUAGUGGUGAAAUACGUAGAGAUUGGGAAGAACACCAGUGGCGAAGGCGGCUAUCUGGACGGUUUCUGACACUAAGACUCGAAAGCGUGGGGAGCAAACAGGG